AAAAAAAAAGCAGGCAGAAAGAAAAGGUAAGUACCCCAGAAGGAAGAAUAAUUAGACUGACAGCUAAUUUCUCAACAGCAAGAGUGAUGCCAGAUUACAGUAGUAUCUUAAUACAUUGAGAAAGGCAGGGGGAAGGGGGUGGGGGUGGGGAGCGGCGGUGGGGAGAUUGCCAUUCUAGAACUCCAGUCUCAGCAAAAUUAUCUUUCAAGAAUGAGGUGAAAUAAAAACAAUUUCAGUAAACAACAAAUUAGAGAAUAUGCCACCAACAUUCCUCUAGUAAAGGAAAUUCUAAGGGAUCUGUUUCAGGAAAAAGGAAACUGAUCCCCAAAGGAUUUGAAAUGCAGGGGAAAAUGGUGAGCAGAAAAGAAAUCAGAAAGUAUUUGGGAAAAUAUAAACAAACAUAGAUUGACAACUAUGUUAAUACAGGGGGCAGAAAAGGUGGCCUGAGCUACAAUAUUAGACAACAUUAAGAUGUAAGGUGCGGACGGUUGUUUGGGAAGAAAGUAGACAUACUGAGCAACUUUGUUAAAUACGCAUGUAAAAGUUUUAAGGAUAACCAC